AGUGAUGGACGUGGACAAUAUGCAAACAACACCAACCAGGAACUAAACCCAUGGCGGAGGAUUUACAGAGUGAGGGCCACAUGCUGAAUUGGUUGUGAUGAGGCAGCGGGAACAGGGAGUAGGAAUCAUCCUCACUUAACCCCUUGUUUGCAGUUCAUGGGACACCAAAUACAGCUCCACUGGCCACCUACUUCUUCAUUUCAUUUAAUCUCAUCUCUCUCUGUUUCUCCCCUGGGCCAAUGCUGCCUUCAGUACAAAGGCCCCUGGAAUAGUUUCCCUUCGAGGCUGCUAUCACAGAUUUGCCACCAAGAAGGUAUCAGAAGUGAUUGAAGAACUUGACAGGAAUGCGAGAAGUGCCAUCAGCACAUGGGAUGUGGAACCCCAAACUUCUUCUUAUGUAUUUGGCUCCUUUGUUCACAAGU